UACGUAGGGUGCAAGCGUUAAUCGGAAUUACUGGGCGUAAAGCGUGCGCAGGCGGUUGUGCAAGACAGAUGUGAAAUCCCCGGGCUCAACCUGGGAACUGCAUUUGUGACUGCACAGCUUGAGUGCGGCAGAGGGGGAUGGAAUUCCGCGUGUAGCAGUGAAAUGCGUAGAUAUGCGGAGGAACACCGAUGGCGAAGGCAAUCCCCUGGGCCUGCACUGACGCUCAUGCACGAAAGCGUGGGGAGCAA
rnacentral:rRNA from 1 species